rnacentral:rRNA from 1 species
UACGUAGGGUGCAAGCGUUAAUCGGAAUUACUGGGCGUAAAGCGUGCGCAGGCGGUUAUGUAAGACAGGUGUGAAAUCCCCGGGCUUAACCUGGGAACUGCAUUUGUGACUGCAUAGCUAGAGUACGGUAGAGGGGGAUGGAAUUCCGCGUGUAGCAGUGAAAUGCGUAGAUAUGCGGAGGAACACCGAUGGCGAAGGCUAUCCCCUGGACCUGUACUGACGCUCAUGCACGAAAGCGUGGGGAGCAAACAGG